GGUUUGUCGCGUUGUUCGUGAAAUCUCACGGCUUAACUGUGAGCGUGCGGGCGAUACGGGCAGACUUGAGUACUGCAGGGGAGACUGGAAUUCCUGGUGUAGCGGUGGAAUGCGCAGAUAUCAGGAGGAACACCGGUGGCGAAGGCGGGUCUCUGGGCAGUAACUGACGCUGAGGAGCGAAAGCGUGGGGAGCGAACAGGAUUAGAUACCCUGGUAGUCCACGCCGUAAACGGUGGGUACUAGGUGUGGGUUUCCUUCCUUGGGAUCCGUGCCGUAGACUAACGCAUUAAGUACCCCGCCUGGGGAGUACGGCCGCAAGGAUAAAACUCAAAGAAAUUGACGGGGGCCCGCACAAGCGGCGGAGCAUGUGGAUUAAUUCGAUGCAACGCGAAGAACCUUAGCUGGGUUUGACAUGCACAGGACGCCGGCAGAGAUGUGGGUUCCCUUGUGGCCUGUGUGCAGGUGGUGCAUGGCUGUCGUCAGCUCGUGUCGUGAGAUGUUGGGUUAAGUCCCGCAACGAGCGCAACCCUUGUCUCAUGUUGCCAGCGGGUAAUGCUCGGGGACUCGUGAGAGACUGCCGGGGUCAAUCUCGGAGGAACGGUGGGGAUGACGUCAAGUCAUCAUGCCCCUUAUGUCCAGGGCUUCACACAUGCUACAAUGGCCGGUACAAAGGGCUGCGAUGCCGCGAGGUUAAGCGAAUCCUUUUAAAGCCGGUCUCAGUUCGGAUCGGGGUCU
rnacentral:rRNA from 1 species